CGUGGAGCCACAUUCUACAAAGAAGAUGCAUAUUUAUUUUUUCUCUGUGAUAGCACAUGGAUCCCAAAAUUCCAGGAAUGUUCAUUGGUGUUGGAAUUUACCUGUCUGUCUGUGGGGGUAAAAGUAAUUCCUCCAGUGGAGAACCUCCACCAGUGAUGCAAGUUUCCAGAAGUGUCAACAGUGAGUACUGCAUUUACAAAAGCACACUCAUAAUGUAUCUGUGAAGAAGAAGAAUUUUAGGAGGCAAAAAGUUGCAGAUUAAAAAUCUUCAAAAUUAUAAAUUCAAAAGAGAGUUUUAAGACAAAAAAGCAGAGCCUAGUCUACUUUUCUCAAAUAUUUAAAUAUGUUCCCCAAAGUAUUCAAGUCAUAUAUGAUUUAUAAAGAUUUAUUUUGGGGAAAAAAGAAAAUCCACAGUGCCUGGAUGACAGCAUUGCCCUAAUAAAAUUCUGCUGUCUGGAGACCACGGCUUUUCACCUUGUGUUUUGGGGGGUUGGCCCUCAUAUUUCUAAAUGAUUUACUUGUGCUACUUUUUUCUUCUUUUCCAGUUUUACUUAUUAACUUUUAACUCCCUACUAUGGAAGAUAAAGCCCCACAGAGACACACAUUUUCUCAGACUCUCUAAGAGUAGGUUUAGUCCUGGCUUGUAACGGGGCGCAGGGGUGCCAGGGCACCUGACCCCAAGGUCCUGAACAAACACGGCUCAGCUACUCACCGCUGACAAAAUCCAAAGGCAGAGAUGUGAGUGGUGGUGAAACUAGAAAGUAAUUUAUUUCAAUGAGGCCAACACUGGGAAGAUAGUGAACUGGCAUCUCAAAGAUCACCCCCAAAGAGCCGAAAAUACUUCUGGUUUAUAUAAGGAGAAUGUAAGACGAAGGCCGGUGGGCGGUAGGGACUUGCAGGUGGGCAGUAAAGCAGGUGGAUCCUUACUUUGGGGUUGAUCACGUGGGGUCCGGCUGACGCCAGGGCUGUCCCUAUUGCUUGGGGGCAUAGUUUAGGUUCCCAUCACAGGAUGCUUUGCCCUCUGGGUCUUCUGCUAGAGUUAAGAGAUAAGCUGGAAAGAGGAACACAAUCAAUUAGAAAGUACUGACUGAGGGGCGUCUGGGUGGCUCAGUUUAUUGAGCAUCUGCCUUUCGCUCAGGCCGUGAUCCCAGGGUCCUGGGAUCGAGGCCUGCAUCAGGCUCCCCACAGGGAGCCUGCUUCUCCCUCUGCCUGUGUCUCUGCCUCUAUUUAUUCUCUCCCAUGAAUAAAUAAAUAAUUUAUUUUGAAGUCAAAAUGGAAGUAGUUGGAAGUUCCUUUGUCAGGCUGAAGAAAAAAAAAACUUAGGACAAGAACACGGGAGUCGGUGCUGAUGUAGAGCACAGCAAUCUGCCUCCAGUCCCAAUCACUGGUCUGGCCCUCAUCGGUCCCAGCCCCCUC
rnacentral:lncRNA from 1 species